rnacentral:rRNA from 1 species
AUUGAACGCUGGCGGCAGGCUUAACACAUGCAAGUCGAGCGGAGAGAGGUAGCUUGCUACUGAUCUUAGCGGCGGACGGGUGAGUAAUGCUUAGGAAUCUGCCUAUUAGUGGGGGACAACAUUUCGAAAGGAAUGCUAAUACCGCAUACGUCCUACGGGAGAAAGCAGGGGAUCUUCGGACCUUGCGCUAAUAGAUGAGCCUAAGUCGGAUUAGCUAGUUGGUGGGGUAAAGGCCUACCAAGGCGACGAUCUGUAGCGGGUCUGAGAGGAUGAUCCGCACACUGGGACUGAGACACGGCCCAGACUCCUACGGGAGGCAGCAGUGGGGAAUAUUGGACAAUGGGCGGAAGCCUGAUCCAGCCAUGCCGCGUGUGUGAAGAAGGCCUUAUGGUUGUAAAGCACUUUAAGCGAGGAGGAGGCUACUUUAGUUAAUACCUAGAGAUAGUGGACGUUACUCGCAGAAUAAGCACCGGCUAACUCUGUGCCAGCCGCCGCUGUAACAC